AAUCAACGCUGGCGGCGUGCCUAACACAUGCAAGUCGCACGAGAAAGGGACUUCGGUCCUGAGUAAAGUGGCGCACGGGUGAGUAACACGUGAAUCAUCUACCUUCGAGUGGGGAAUAACUGAGAGAAAUCUUAGCUAAUACCGCAUAAUACCUACGGGUCAAAGCAGCAAUGCGCUUGAAGAGGAGUUCGCGGCAGAUUAGUUAGUUGGCGGGGUAAUGGCCCACCAAGACGAUGAUCUGUAUCCGGCCUGAGAGGGCGGCACGGGACACACUGGAACUGAACACGGUCCAGACUCCUACGGGAGGCAGCAGUGGGGAAUUUUGCGCAAUGGGGGAAACCCGUGACGCAGCAACGCCGCGUGGAGGAUGAAAUCCCUUGGGAUGUAAACUCCUUUCGAUCGGGAAGAUAAUGACGUACCGAGAG
rnacentral:rRNA from 1 species